rnacentral:rRNA from 1 species
UGUGACAUCGUUUUACGGCCGCGGUAUCUUGACCGUGCGAAGGUAGCGCAAUCACUUGUCUUUUCAAUGGGGACCUGUAUGAAUGGCAUACCGAGGGCUUACCUGUCUCCUUUUUCAAGUCAAUCAAAUUCAUCUCCCCGUGCAGAAGCGGGGAUACCUACAUACGACGAGAAGACCCUGUGGAGCUUUAGACACCAGGGCAGAUCACGUUACGCACACCUACACACAGGGCUACACCACAUGACCCCUGCCCCUAGUCUUCGGUUGGGGCGACCAUGGGGUACAAUACACCCCCCACGCGGAAUGGGAGUACCUAGCUCCUACAAACCCAGAGCCUCCACUCUAGUUGGCAGAAUCUCUCACCUACAGACCCGGCCAAGGCCGAUCAACGGACCAAGUUACCCCAGGGAUACCAGCGCAAUCCUCUUUUCGAGCCCAUAUCGACAAGAGGGUUUACGACCUCGAUGUUGGAUCAGGACAUCCUACUGGUGCAGCCGCUAUUACGGGUUCGUUUGUUCAACGAUUACAGUCCUACGUGAUCUGGUUUUCA